rnacentral:sRNA from 1 species
GUCACCCCACUGAUACUAAUGCUGAUUCUGCUUAUCUGGCUGGCUGGGC